UACAGAGGUCUCAAGCGUUGUUCGGAUUCAUUGGGCGUAAAGGGUGCGUAGGCGGCGCUGUAAGUCGGGUGUGAAAUUUCGGAGCUCAACUCCGAGACUGCAUUCGAUACUGCGGUGCUUGAGGACUGGAGAGGAGACUGGAAUUCAUGGUGUAGCAGUGAAAUGCGUAGAUAUCGAGAGGAACACCAGUGGCGAAGGCGAGUCCCUGGACAACACCUGACACUGAGGCACGAAAGCUAGGGGAGCAAACAGG
rnacentral:rRNA from 1 species